UACGAAGGCAGCAGUGGGGAAUAUUGCACAAUGGGCGAAAGCCUGAUGCAGCUAUGCCGCGUGUAUGAAGAAGGCCUUAGGGUUGUAAAGUACUUUCAUCGGGGAGGAAAAAACAAAACUAAUAAUUUUAUUUCUUGACGUUACCCGAAAAAGAAGCACCGGCUAACUCCGUGCCAGCAGCCGCGGUAAUACGGAGGGUGCUAGCGUUAAUCAGAAUUACUGGGCGUAAAGAGCACGUAGGUGGUUUUUUUAAGUCAGAUGUGAAAUCCCCUGGGCUUAACCUAGGAACUGCAUUUUGAAACUGAAAUACUAGAGUAUCGUAGAGGGAGGUAGAAUUCUAGGUGUAGCGGUGAAAUGCGUAGAUAUCUGGAGGAAUACCUGUGGCGAAAGCGGCCUCCUAAACGAAUACUGACACUGAGUGCGAAAGCGUUGGGGAGCAAACAGGGAUUAGAUACC
rnacentral:rRNA from 1 species